AUUAAUCAACCGAGAACAAUGCAUAGGUGCUAAUUGGGUACAAUCCUCUAGUGACCAAGCAAAUGAUCUAGAGGUUAAUUUACGCAAAUGAGACAAUAAUAGUAAACCCCAAAGCAGCUAUCACAUGUACGAGAACUUCCCACAACACCCAUACAAGCCUGUUACAGAAACAAUACAUAACAAAUUUGUAUAGAUGAUUGCAAACAGUUGCCGCCAAAUAGCGUGGCCGCAUAAAAUCAUCGCAGGAGCAAGACCACGUAACGUCAUCAUUGGAAGACGAGACCACAUAAUCCAAUGCUCAAGGCGAAAAUCAAAUACAACCGUCGUUACGGCGCAAAACGGACACCAUCCAAUGGAAGGAUAGGACCCUCAGGUAAGGACCACAGCAGUGCCAUCACACAAGACAGGCAGCUUGCGAAUUUGAUACGCCCAAAAUUUUUUUGGGUAAGUUUUAUUUUGGGUAAAAGACUGUUUACUACCUUAUGUUUCGUGGUUUUCAACAUUUAGUAUAUCAAGUUUUUUUUGUCUCAGAUUCAAACCUAAAGUGUAAAUUUUGGGACAAUCUCAUACAUCCUUUAGUCAAACUGUUAAAUCUGCCAUUAAUUGUGACGUGGCGCUCAUGUGGACAAUAACUGGGCGCCACGUAUCAUCCGCGUUUUUUUUUUCUUUCUUCUUCUUCUUCUUCAUCUUCUUCCUUCUUCUUCUUCUUCUUCUUCCUCCUCCGACUGCAACUUCUUUUUCCCCCUUCUCCUUCUUCCUUCUUCUUCCUUCUCCUUCUCCUUCUUCUUCUUGUUCCUCCGAAUCUAGGGAAGUUUUUUUUUUUUUUUUUUUCUUCUUCCUCCUUCCUCCUUCUUCCUUCUCCUUCCUUCUCCUUCUUCUUCUUCUGAAUCUGGGUUGCAGAUUCGUUUUUUUUUUCUUUUUUCUUUUUUCUUCUUCUUCCUCCUUCUUCUUCCUCCGACUUGUCUUUGUAUAUCUAAAUACAAACACAAAAAAGUGCAUAUUCACAUUUUUAGAGGUUUAAUAACAAAUCUCAUAAAUUACAAAUAUUAUUUUAUUUAAACUUUUUCUCCGGCAAAUAUUCAAACUUUUAAAUUAAACAAAUAUUUAUCAAACUUAUUAAAUUAAGCAAGUAUUCAAACUUCCAUGACUAUUUUAAGAAUAUAGAACCACAUUCAUUACUAACUAUACAUGAACGUUCACACAUAAUUAAAAGAUUUUAUUGCUACCCGUGAAAUUCACCAGUAUUUUUAUAACUUAUGAAUACGCAAUUGAACCAAUCAACCGUAUCCAUAAAAUUGAGCACAUAACUUCUGCUCAAAAUCAUUUUUUUUUAAUUUUUUUGACAAACAACAAUACUUGGUAUUUCAUUAAUCAACCGAGAACAAUACAUAGGUGCUAAUUGGGUACAAUCCUCUAGUGACCAAGCAAAUGAUCUAGAGAUUAAUUUACGCAAAUGAGACAACAAUAGUAAACCCCUAAGCAGCUAUCACAUGUACGAGAACUUCCCACAACACCUAUACAAGCCUGUUACAGAAACAAUACAUAACAAAUUUGUAUAGAUGAUUGCAAACAGUUGCCGCCAAAUAGCGUGGCCGCAUAAAAUCAUC
rnacentral:lncRNA from 1 species